UACGGGGGGUGCAAGCGUUGCUCGGAAUCACUGGGCGUAAAGCGUCCGCAGGCGGCUUGAUAAGUCGGGUGUGAAAGCCCGGGGCUCAACCCCGGAACUGCAUUCGAAACUGUCUCGCUUGAGUACGGGAGAGGGUCGUGGAAUUCCUGGUGUAGAGGUGAAAUGCGCAGAUAUCAGGAGGAACACCAAUUGCGAAGGCAGCUCGCUGGGACGUUACUGACGCUGAGACGCGAAAGCGUGGGGAGCAAACAGG
rnacentral:rRNA from 1 species